rnacentral:rRNA from 1 species
GGUUAAAAAGCUCGUAGUUGGAUUUCUGUUGAGGAUGACCGGUCCGCUCUUUGAGCGCGUAUCUGGUUCAGCCUUGGCAUCCUCUUGGGGAACGCUACUGUGCUUGAUUGCAUGGGGCGGUAUUCAAGACUUUUACUUUGAGGAAAUUAGAGUGUUCACUGCAAGCGUUAGCAAUUGAAUACAUUAGCAUGGAAUAAUAAUAUAGGACCUUGGUACUAUUUUGUUGGUUUCUAGAACUAAGGUAAUGAUUAAUAGGGACAAUUGGGGGCAUUCGUACUAACGCGUCAGAGGUGGAAUUCUUAGAUUGCGUUACGACGAACUACUGCGAAAGCAUUUGCCAAGGAUGUUUUCAUUGAUCAAGAACGAAAGUAUGGGGAUCGAAGACGCUUAGAUACCGUCGUAGUCUAUACCAUAAACUAUGCCAACUAGAGAUUGGAGGUCGUUCUCUUUAUGACUCCUUCAGCGCCUUAUGAGAAAUCAAUGUCUUUGGGUUCCGGGGGGAGUAUGGUCGCAAGG